AGUAUAAGCAAUUUAUACAGUGAAACUGCGAAUGGCUCAUUAAAUCAGUUAUCGUUUAUUUGAUAGUUCCUUUACUACAUGGUAUAACUGUGGUAAUUCUAGAGCUAAUACAUGCUUAAAAUCUCGACCCUUUGGAAGAGAUGUAUUUAUUAGAUAAAAAAUCAAUGUCUUCGGACUCUUUGAUGAUUCAUAAUAACUUUUCGAAUCGCAUGGCCUUGUGCUGGCGAUGGUUCAUUCAAAUUUCUGCCCUAUCAACUUUCGAUGGUAGGAUAGUGGCCUACCAUGGUUUCAACGGGUAACGGGGAAUAAGGGUUCGAUUCCGGAGAGGGAGCCUGAGAAACGGCUACCACAUCCAAGGAAGGCAGCAGGCGCGCAAAUUACCCAAUCCUAAUUCAGGGAGGUAGUGACAAUAAAUAACGAUACAGGGCCCAUUCGGGUCUUGUAAUUGGAAUGAGUACAAUGUAAAUACCUUAACGAGGAACAAUUGGAGGGCAAGUCUGGUGCCAGCAGCCGCGGUAAUUCCAGCUCCAAUAGCGUAUAUUAAAGUUGUUGCAGUUAAAAAGCUCGUAGUUGAACUUUGGGCCCGGUUGGCCGGUCCGAUUUUUUCGUGUACUGGAUUUCCAACGGGGCCUUUCCUUCUGGCUAACCUUGAGUCCUUGUGGCUCUUGGCGAACCAGGACUUUUACUUUGAAAAAAUUAGAGUGUUCAAAGCAGGCGUAUUGCUCGAAUAUAUUAGCAUGGAAUAAUAGAAUAGGACGUUUGGUUCUAUUUUGUUGGUUUCUAGGACCAUCGUAAUGAUUAAUAGGGACGGUCGGGGGCAUCAGUAUUCAAUUGUCAGAGGUGAAAUUCUUGGAUUUAUUGAAGACUAACUACUGCGAAAGCAUUUGCCAAGGACGUUUUCAUUAAUCAAGAACGAAAGUUAGGGGAUCGAAGAUGAUCAGAUACCGUCGUAGUCUUAACCAUAAACUAUGCCGACUAGGGAUCGGGUGGUGUUUUUUUAAUGACCCACUCGGCACCUUACGAGAAAUCAAAGUCUUUGG
rnacentral:rRNA from 1 species